UACGUAGGGGGCAAGCGUUGUCCGGAAUCAUUGGGCGUAAAGAGCGUGUAGGCGGCCAGAUAAGUCCGCUGUGAAAUCUCGAGGCUCAACUUCGAGCUGUCGGUGGAAACUGUCUGGCUAGAGUCCGGAAGAGGAGAGUGGAAUUCCUGGUGUAGCGGUGAAAUGCGCAGAUAUCAGGAAGAACACCCGUGGCGAAGGCGGUUCUCUGGGACGGUACUGACGCUGAGACGCGAAAACGUGGGGAGCGAACAGG
rnacentral:rRNA from 1 species